rnacentral:tRNA from 1 species
GGGGGUGUAGCUCAGCUGGGAGAGCGCGUGGUUCGCAAUCACGAGGUCAGGGGUUCGAGCCCCCUCACCUCCACCA